GACGAACGCUGGCGGCGUGCCUAAUACAUGCAAGUUGAGCGCUGAAGGUUGGUACUUGUACCAACUGGAUGAGCAGCGAACGGGUGAGUAACGCGUGGGGAAUCUGCCUUUGAGCGGGGGACAACAUUUGGAAACGAAUGCUAAUACCGCAUAAAAACUUUAAACACAAGUUUUAAGUUUGAAAGAUGCAAUUGCAUCACUCAAAGAUGAUCCCGCGUUGUAUUAGCUAGUUGGUGAGGUAAAGGCUCACCAAGGCGAUGAUACAUAGCCGACCUGAGAGGGUGAUCGGCCACAUUGGGACUGAGACACGGCCCAAACUCCUACGGGAGGCAGCAGUAGGGAAUCUUCGGCAAUGGACGAAAGUCUGACCGAGCAACGCCGCGUGAGUGAAGAAGGUUUUCGGAUCGUAAAACUCUGUUGGUAGAGAAGAACGUUGGUGAGAGUGGAAAGCUCAUCAAGUGACGGUAACUACCCAGAAAGGGACGGCUAGCUACGUG
rnacentral:rRNA from 1 species